GGAGUUAUUAUGCUUGUAAAAAUAUCAAUAUUAAUGAAUCAAGGGUGACGACUUCUGCAGAAGAUGGUUAAUAUCAUAUACUAUUAGAAAUAUUCAGAAUAUGUACAACAAACAUCAGUAUGGUGUUGAUUUGAACGAUCAGCAAAUACUAACUAAUGUAAUACACCCAAAUAAUAUAACAGAUGGUUCAAUUUUGACAUAUUAGAUUACUAUGUCAUUGUUUAUCAUAUGUAAAGGACGUCGGAGUUCGCUUCUUAGUAGCUAAUCUUCUGCAUUCAAAAAACCAUAGCAUAGGGAGUUGUUGGGGGUUCCUGAGAAAAUUGUGUAAUGUUAGUAAAUUCACAAAGUUGAGGUGGUUGAUGAUGGAAGUGAAACUGCUUGAAAAGUGACAUGACACAAAAAUGUGGGAUAAAACAUUACCUGGAUAGCUAAAUAAUGAAGGCAUCCCAAAAAGUUAAACCGAUUCAUUUCAUUCUCCCUAUUGAGCGAACUUGUACCGACUGAGAAUCCAAAAAUUUCAUUAAGCAAAAGUCACAAAAUCAAGUAAGGGAGUUCCUGUAAUUAGACAGUUUAAAGUCUGUCAGAAACUGAUAAUAUAGCAACACAUAGCAAAACAAUUUAAAUUUUAGAAUCCCUCAAAACGGAAGAAAAAGUUUGAAGCUUUAUCCUCCAAACUGGCACCCUUUUUAGCACAUUUUUAGCACAAAAACUGGAAAUGAGCAAAUGGUAACUUCAGAAUGAGCAAAAUAUGGUCAAUUAACACCCUAGCGACACCAAAAAUAAAGGAGGUAAACUUUAGAAAGACUGAAAUUUUCUUUAAAUUUACUCAAGCAUUUACUCUUCCAACUUCAUCAGCAUUGAUGAGAACAAAUUCAUUUCUAUUAAUUAGGGUAUAGAGACAUGAUCAAAUAAAUUUUGAUAUGAUGUUAUAUUUUAGAGAAUUCAUUUACAAAGCGAUCAAAUAAGUCUUGAUACAUCGACAAGUAGAGGAGGGGAAAAAAGAGCUAAUCACCCACAAUGAGCAGAACUUUUAAGGUAAAUUUAUAUGCCCAUUAGGUAUCAAAUAGAAAGAAAGUCAUGAAAUUGAUAAAAGUGAUAGUUUCUCCAUUGAAUCUCUGUGUGAUCAGCAUGUUCAGAUGAUCAGCUCUGUAAUUAGUAUAAUAGAGGUCUAUCAUUCUUGGAACCAAGUUAGGUGUUUGAGAGUAUAGAUGCUCCAUAAGUGUAUUGGAUUGUUGGAAUGGUAAUAGUUCACAAUUCAUUUCCAUAAAAAGAAAAGACAUUGGAAUGCUUUAUAACUUCACAAACACACACAGAUCACUGCCCAAAGAAGUGGUCUUAGCAGAGUUUUUUUUUCAAAAUAAUUACGUUGUUAAUUUACUUUCUCUAAGUUGUAAACAAACCCAAAACCGUUCGGAUCAAUGGUCUCUAAUCAUCUCAUUCUUUUUUCUUGAAAACCUAAUGUAAGAAGCCCAUUGGGAUGUCCAUAAUUAAGUAUUUUUCUUCAUUGACCGUCAAAACCUUUCUAGGUCAUUAAUUAUACUUACCGUUUCCUCACCAAUAACUUGCAUCAUAGUUGUUGCUUGGACAUUAUGAGCUCACACCUUAGCAUUAACCACAUUGAAUUUGAGAUUCGUGAGGACAACGCCCACCUCAAACAAUAGCCCUGGUCUAUCACUCAGACUAUUGACUCGGGGAUGAUCAUUAGUUAUCCUAAAGAUUUUCCUAGUAUGAUCUAAAAAGGAGAAAGACUAUUUCAAAUAAGACAACUUGAACACAUCAUCAAACAUCUUGAGUGUAUAUCCAGGACGUUCUAAUUUUGCAAAUGGACUCUAUUAAGAGGACUGUCCUCGCACGUGUAAGAUUAGAUCGGGGUUCAAUUUUCAAUAGGAUGAUUUGGUUGUAUGCACUAAUUAGAUAACAACAAAGACAAAAUUCAUCAAAGAGAUAAUACUUAUGUAAAUCGGAUUGCUAGUUAUUCCCCUCACUACAACUUUAUGAGAAAGUUAAAUAUGCAAUAAGUUAAAUGUUGGAGAAUCAUAACAAAAAUGGAAUCGGCAGUACCUUGCUAAACAAAUAGAAAAACGACCACCCUAAUUUCCUCAUCAAUACCAAAUGUACACAUAUAUAAGUGAAUCACUUGAAGACUGCAAGUUAGACAAUUUCUGAAAAAAUUCUGGCUAUAAAGCAUGCUACUAUGACUACUAAGAUUACAUUUGUCACCCUCAAAUGAAGCUCUAUAUCAGCUCUAAAAGCAAGUAAAAGAGGUAUGUGAUUAGCUUCUAAUUUUGCGAGCCAAGUAGCUUUUAUUGACCGUAAAUCCAAUAAUGCCAUGCGCAUGACAUACCAAUUAAUGGUUGCGCUUCUUGAUCCCAGAAAAAUGAUACAAAAGGAAAGGGAACAAAAGAGAAUUCCUAUUUUGUAUUCUUUGUUUUUUUGAAUCACAGGGUAAAAAGCUAAUGACCAUUGUGAAAAUAUUUCCACCUUUUAAGCAAACUAAAGUGGUAAAUUCAUGGAAAAUUCAAUUCAGCUAUACGUGUAUGAGUUUUUCAGUCCAAGAUAUAUGCUUUCUGUGUAAGAGUAGUGUGACAAAAGAAUUACCUAGGAUCAAUGUCCAAUGCUAUAGAUUGAUUGCAUAGAAGAUGUUUAUAAACUUGCUGGAACGCGUUAUACUCCUUUCAUUGGGGCAUUUCAUCAAACAUACUGAAUGCAUCAAUGUUCUCUUCUUGUUAUUCUCUUCUUUAUGUUUUAGUUAAGUGUUGUAACAAUUAAGGCAUCAAAGUAGAAUAUUCUUCAGGAAGAACUUAAUAAACAACCACAUGUAUAAUAAAAUCCACCAAGAAUAAAUACAUGCAGAAAGUGGAAAAUUAAAUAUUUAAAAUCAGACGACUAUACUAAGGAAACAUAAAAUAUAAAUAUGAAUAUAAUUUCAUAGGUAGAGUGAAGAUUGUUAAUCAAAGAAAAUUUGUCGAUCCUAACUCAAUAAUCUCCGAAAAACAAAUAUUUACUUGAUCAUCGAAAAAGGAAUGAAUCAGAAUAUAAACACGAAUCAAAUACUCACAUGCAAACGGGGAAUUGAGACAUAGCUCUGUAAUUGAAAAUUUAUAAAAUGAGUACUUUACCAUUGAAGACAUGUAGCGGAAGCUCCAAUAAACAGACACAGAAAUAAAAGAGAAGAAGACUGAAGAAAGAGACCUGGAUAUAGAAGUUGAAGUGGAUGUCCCAAAUAGUUAAACACGUGUGCAGGGUUUUAAUUGAAGUGCAAUACGUGUCGACAGAGUAAAAAAUAACUCUAAAUUUACCGUACAAAUUAGAUAACUUUUGGUACAAUUUGUUGAAGUUGUG
rnacentral:lncRNA from 1 species